CUCUGCCUGCACCUGGUCAUCCACCAGCCAGGCCCCGCCUGUGGUCUGAGGAGACGUCUUCAUGUGCUGCUGUGUCAGAACCGCUGAUGUUGUCACCUGGAAGGCCGGAUUUCUGCGAGGAAGGUAAUGUGUCUGCAACUGUUCUCUACACAUGCUUCCAGUGAAGACGCUUGCUUACCACUCUGACUUUAUUGUUCCACAGACCUGCUGAGUGGACACCUGGAUGUCUGCAAGUGAGGUAAUAUGUCUGCAACUGAAUAAAUCCUGCCAGUGAAGACACUUACAAUGCUGCUGUGUUUUUUUGCUUUGCAGGAGCAGAGAUUCGUCACCUGGAAGGCUGGAUUUCUGCGAGCAAGUUUUAUUAUGUUUUUAGCUGCACAGGACCACUGAUUCGUCAUCUGAGAGGUGGAAUUCCUGUGAGUAUGGUAGUAUAUUUGCAACUCAUGUUAACACAUCCUUCCAGUGAAGACGCUUGCUUACCACUCUGAUUUUUGUUGUUUAGCAGAACCGCUGAGUGGACACCUGGACUUCUGCAAGUGAGGUAAUAUGUCUACAACCUGUUCACACAUCCUGGCAGUGAAGACACUUACCAUGCUGCUUUUUUUUUUUUUUUUUUGGCUUCGCAGGACCACUGAUUUGUCGCCUCGAAGGCUGGAUUUCUGACCACUGAUUCAUCACACUGAUGGGU
rnacentral:lncRNA from 1 species